CUCAGUUCGGAUUGUAGGCUGCAACUCGCCUACAUGAAGUUGGAAUCGCUAGUAAUCGCGAAUCAGAAUGUCGCGGUGAAUACGUUCCCGGGUCUUGUACACACCGCCCGUCACACCACGAGAGUUUACAACACCCGAAGUCAGUGGCCUAACCGCAAGGAGGGAGCUGCCUAAGGUGGGGUAGAUGAUUGGGGUGAAGUCGUAACAAGGUACC
rnacentral:rRNA from 1 species